ACUACGGGAGGCAGCAGUGGGGAAUAUUGGGCAAUGGGCGCAAGCCUGACCCAGCAACGCCGCGUGAAUGAAGAAGGCCCUCGGGUUGUAAACUUCUUUUAUCCGGGACGAAACAAAUGACGGUACCGAAUGAAUAAGCCACCGCUAACCACGUGCCAACAGCCGCGGUAAUACGUAGGGGGCACGCGUUAUACGGAUUUACUGGGUGUAAAGGGCGUGUAGGCGGGAGAGCAAGUCAGAAGUGAAAUUCCAGGGCUCAACCCUGGAACUGUGUUUGAAACUGUCCUUCUUGAGUGAUGGAGAGGCAGGUGGAAUUCCGGGUGUAGCGGUGAAAUGCGUAGAUAUACGGAGGAACACCAGUGGCGAAGGCGGCCUGCUGGACAUUAACUGACGCUGAGGCGCGAAAGCGUGGGGAGCAAACAGGAUUAGAUACCCGGGUAGUC
rnacentral:rRNA from 1 species